GAGCCGUUGGGUAGUGUUGCAUCUGAGGCGAGGUCACCCGCAGAGUAGUUCGAGAGAUGUGACGUCACAUCCGGUCAUAACAUGGUACUAGGUCUAAGCUGGCCUUUUAUCAGAGUGCAGUCUUCAGCCAGUUCAGGAGGAACGCGUAACGCAAUCAUUUCUAUUGUCUCACCGAGGUCACGCAUCAGUCGUGCUGGAAAACUACCGCAGACCGGAAAAGCUUUUUUUUUCGCGGCCGUGCUCUACAUCCGGGAGCUGAUUGUUGCAUAAGCUAGAGGAAGGUUAGAGGAGUAGAUCGACGUGAAAUACGGCCAGAGUUCUCAAAUAAAUAUCUAUUUAUUGAAGUUCGACGAUAACGCACCGAGUGUCUUGUCCGUCAUAUUGGAAAAGGAAUGUGGUUCAAGACAACACGAAGAACAAGAAAGCAAAAUUUACUCUUUAGUGUGUUGAUUUUGUAGAGUACACAAUAAAAACACAAAUCCUUUCUCGAUUUGGUUGAGCGCUUGUAUGGGUAAUAGAUAGCGAAAUAUCCAAUAAAAUGUUAAACCAAGCAAA